rnacentral:lncRNA from 1 species
CUCCGAGCCAGGUGUGGGAUAUAAUCUCGUGGUGCGCCAUUUUUUAAGCUGGUCAGAAAAGCGCAGUAUUCAGGUGGGAGUGGCCCGAUUUUCCAGGUGCGUCGGUCACCCGUUUCUUUGACUCGGAAAGGGAACUCCCUGACCCCUUGCGCUUCCCAAGUGAGGCAAUGCCUCUCCCUGCUUCGGCUCGCGCAUGGUGCGCGCACCCACUGACCUGCGCCCACUGUCUGGCACUCCCAAGUGAGAUGAACCCGGUACCUCAGAUGGAAAUGCAGAAAUCACCCGUCUUCUGCAUCGCUCACGCUGGGAGCUGUAGACAGGAGCUGUUCCUAUUCGGCCAUCUUGGCUCCUCUCGAUAAUUGCUUUCAUGUGAACCCUUCAUAAGGUAAAAUCAAAUCCCUAUUAGGAUAAAUGAUUGAGUGUUCCUGUAAAGAAUUGUUCCCCUGGUUCAAGCAACCAGAUUUCAUUCCCAGAUGAUCAAAAAUGGACUUGAUGAAAUGGAAAAGCACUGAUAGAAACAGUUCCACUGCUCAAAAUUACUCCUGAAGGGAUGAGGACACCAGGAUAUGCCACCGGACCACUGAAGAGAUUGCUGUUUUCUGCCCCAGGCCUGUGCCAUGAGGGACACUUUCUCAGGACUCUUGCCAAUCUUUUCUGAGAGUACCUGGUGAGCUCUGUUGUGAAUUGCCUUUAUAGGUGCCCGCGAUGGCCGACAAUGAUGCAAAAUAGUACUUUGAGCAAAAUUUGCUCCUGAUUCUGUAGAAAUCUCAGAUGGACAAAUAAUCAACUUCUCAUAUAUUUAUCUGAACAUUUUACCCUGUCACCUAGAAUUUCUGUGAAUUCUAGAAUAUUUAAAUAAAAGUGGUUUCUUGUCAAUGAAAGAAGUUUGCAUUUAAAGCUCAAAAUAUUGCUGUCUAGAUGUGUCCUCUACUUCUCCCUGAUAAUAACAG